rnacentral:miRNA from 1 species
UGUACAUUGGCACUAAUUUGGACUUUUUCCCGUAUGCUUAUAUUGUUAUUUGCAUUAUAUAUAUAUAUAUAUAUAUAAUGCAAAUAACAAUAUAAGCAUACGGGAAAAAGUCCAAAUUAGUGCCAAUGUACA